UACGGAGGGGGCUAGCGUUGUUCGGAAUUACUGGGCGUAAAGCGCGCGUAGGCGGCUUUGUAAGUUAGAGGUGAAAGCCCGGAGCUCAACUCCGGAAUUGCCUUUAAGACUGCAUCGCUAGAAUCAUGGAGAGGUGAGUGGAAUUCCGAGUGUAGAGGUGAAAUUCGUAGAUAUUGGGAGGAACACCAGUGGCGAAGGCGGCGACCUGGGCCAAUAUUGACGCUGAGGUGCGAAAGCGUGGGGAGCAAACAGG
rnacentral:rRNA from 1 species